UGGGUCUUCAGCUGUUUUCGGACUACAAUCCCCAUCACCCCUGACCACUGAUCUUGUUAGCUAGGGAUGAUGGGAGUUGUAGUCCAGAAAUAGCUGGAGACCCA
rnacentral:miRNA from 1 species